GUAGGAAACAAGCGAGCACUGGAAAAUCCCCUUUGCUUUCUGGCUCCAUGACUGACAGAGGUUGAGGUAUGCAGGGUUUGAUUUACAGCUACUCUGGGAAGCUGGGAAAUCUGACAAAGAUAGUGCUGCCCACUAACAUUAGGGGAAACAGGAAGUUACAAAGGAAACAAGUCAUUGCCUAGGCGUCACUUUUGGCCACGGUGCAGUGCAGAUGCACAGGCAGUUGGGGCAGGGUUUCUUUUGUGUGUUGAGUGUACAGCAGCUACCACAGUCACUUUCAACCUUACAGUACAUGGAAAGGGAAGAAGUGCAGAGAUGUUUCUGUCAUGCCUGAGAGGGGUCAGAAGUCGUUAAUGGCUUUGCCAUCACAAAGGAAACAAUCGUUCGGUGAAAUUGUCAGCAGAAAAAGUAUGUGUCGAUCAGGCAUGGUCACCAGGCAUAGAAUUGUCAUGGGGAUCAUCUGAGAAACAGUGAUGCGAGGCCUUUUGCUGUCUGCUGCCACCUCUUCUGGUUCAGAUGAUUCUGUUCAGUGCUGUUUCAGUGAGGGAGAAGGUUGAUUCAAGAGCCGCUUAUAAUGGGUUUUGGGGCUUGAUGGAAAGCAUACUUUAAAAAUACACAUCUAGUCCCUUGGUGAGUGGAAAGAAGAAUGAAGCAUGUAACUACUACUAGAAGCUUGCCCAAAAUAAUGCAUGGGUAAUAUCACUUUCUGUUUGUAACAGACGACCAGUGUCAGAAAGAGCAUGGCUUGGCUCUGAUUGCACUUAUUGGGCCCUUUCUGUUAACCUCAUUGUUAGCUCCAUGGAAAAGGCUCUGCUUAUGCACCUGGGGUGAAAACGUGUAGUGGGGUCUUUGGCUUGUGGUGCAGAAAUGUAACUGUGUAAGAAACAACUUGGAAAUAUCUUUCUGUUCGUAAUGAUCACAGAACCAACAGGCUCUACAAUGACUUCAGUGCUUGCUGUUGUUUAUACCUGGUAAUGCAACAUUGAUCUGCUCUUCAUGUAAUGCAUUACAAAAAAAUAUAAAAGGAAUAUCAAGAGUGGAAGGCAGAAUUUCAGUGAGCUAAAGGCAACAUAUUGUACGUGCUAAGACCAGAAAAGUCUUUAAAAGCAUCCAUUUUCCUUCCUCCCACUCCUACUAUAAAGUUUCUGGGGUUAUACUGUUUUGACAGCUUUCUUCCAGCAGCUUGAGACAAAGUAGUGUCCUUCUGGAGUUGUAGUGUCAAGAAAAGAGUAAAAAUCUGCUUAGGACUAGGUUCAAAGUACUUAAAUGGAUUUUAGCAGCCUACCUCAAACAUUUCAAUUCAAAAUACUAAAGUCUUCCUUAUCUGUCUACAAUGUGUCUGCAAAUGAAAGCGCUUGAGGAGCCUACAGAUGUGAUGGGGAGUACCAUAAGCCCCAGUGAGUUCCAGAAAAUAGGCAUAAGAGGUUGUUAAUCUAUUGAAAAGCCUUGUGUAUUAGGUGGGCUUUUUAGCUCAUAUAAUGCGCAUUUGGUUGCGUGGAGUUCAGCUAUGUGUCCUUUUAUUCACUUAGCAGGGAUGGGGAAGUUCUCCAUUGGUCUCUAUUCUCAGGAUUGUUUUAUAGUGAGUAGUCAAAAAUAAGAAAUGAUUAUGAAUAGAGGAAGCAGAACCUCAUACUCUGCUGUUGUUUCCCCUUGGUAGUCAUCACACUGUAGAACUGGAUUUGUUCCCCCCCCUCUGUCUGCUCCUCUGCUUCCAUGAUUUGGUUGGGCUUUUUUUCUGUCUGCCUGAUAUUCUGGCUGCCUGAUAUUCUGGCUUUUCAGGAGGAGGAGAAAAUGCCCCAUCCAGGCAUGCUUUAGUGAGUAGCCUAACUAGUCUACCCCUGUACAGAAGGCCAACAUGACCUAGUCAGAUAUUUCUGUUCUAUGUAUUUACCUAGGGUGGGAUACCCUUGUCCCCAGUGUUUGUCAUUGGCCUCCCUGAAAUCUCAGCUUACUGCUUGUUUUGGAUAACCUCACUGAGGCAUUUAACUCUGCCUCUGCUGGUCUGUAUUCAACCUAAGUAUGGAACACUGAAGGCUAGGUGCUUGAGUUCCUUCUUAUCCUUUGUAGUAAACACACAAAGGAUUUGAAGACCCAUGAUGAACUUGAAACUAUUGGAUAGCAUUGAGACUAAUGUUAAAGUUAGUUUAAGAAAACUGAC
rnacentral:lncRNA from 1 species